AGAGUUUGAUCAUGGCUCAGAAUGAACGUUGGCGGCGUGGAUUAGGCAUGCAAGUCGUACGAGAAUCGUAGCAAUACGAGGAAAGUGGCGAAAGGGAGAGGAUUACGUGGGAAUCUACCCUCAGACCUGGGAUAGCGGCGGGAAACUGCCGGUAAUACCAGAUAAUGUCUUUGGACCAAAGGUGUGAUUCCGUCUGGGGAUGAGCCCACGUCCUAUUAGCUUGUUGGUGGGGUAAUGGCCUACCAAGGCAAUGAUGGGUAGCGGGUGUGAGAGCACGACCCGCCUCACUGGGACUGAGAUACUGCCCAGACACCUACGGGUGGCUGCAGUCGAGAAUCUUCGGCAAUGGGCGAAAGCCUGACCGAGCGACGCCGCGUGCGGGAUUGAAGGCCUUCGGGUUGUAAACCGCUGUCGUAGGGGAGCAAGAGAAGAGGGUUCUCCCUCUAAUUUGAGCGAUCCUAGGAGGAAGGACGGGCUAAGUUCGUGCCAGCAGCCGCGGUAAGACGAACCGUCCGAACGUUAUUCGGUAUCACUGGGCUUAAAGAGUUCGUAGGCGGCUCCGUAGGUGAGGUGUGAAAUCCCUCGGCUCAACCGAGGAAUUGCGCUUCAAACCGUGGAGCUAGAGGAAGAUAGGGGUGAGCGGAACAGAUGGUGGAGCGGUGAAAUGCGUUGAUAUCAUCUGGAACACCGGUGGCGAAAGCGGCUCGCUGGAUCUUUUCUGACGCUGAGGAACGAAAGCUAGGGGAGCGAAACGGGAUUAGAUACCCCGGUAGUCCUAGCCGUAAAACGAUGAGCACUAGUCUGUGGGGACCCUCACAUCCUCUCGGACGUAGCGAAAGUGUUAAGUGC
rnacentral:rRNA from 1 species